rnacentral:lncRNA from 1 species
GGGAGAAACAUUUAAUCACUUGGAUUUCCUUACCUGAAUGAUUGAGCAUGCAUUAAAACAAGCAAACAAACAGACAGACAGACAGACAGACAGACAGACGUAUUUAAUUCCUCCCUUGCAAUAAUCCGACAAAUAUGGGUUUGGGUUAAAAUAGGAUAACAGUGGAGGAGUACAGCUCAAACAUUUUGGAAGAGGCAAGUGUGAAGGUUAAGAUGUUUUGGGCAUGUGCCUAGGUGGGAAAGUGGAUAUAUUGGACACAUUAGACAGGGGGUGUUGAAUAUGGAGCUGCCAGGCAGGGGGACAAAAGGAAGACCUCAGAGGAGGUUCAUGGAUCUAGUGAAGCAGGACAUGCAGAGGGCUGGCGUGACAGAGGAUGCUAGAGAUAGGGUGAGAUGGAGGCAGAUAAUCUGUUGCUGCUGUGAUAACCCCCUAAAGAGAGCAGCCAAAAGAAGGAGAAGAUUCAAGUAUAUAACUUGUGCAGUAAGACUAUAACUUUUACUUAAUUGAAAAGUCUAACUUUUUUCCCAUGCUAAUUUUCUGCAGUGAUUUUAUUCCUAAAAAAUGUUCAGAUUCCCCGACCCCUUUCUUCCAGAUAAUGAUCAAGGAAAUGACGUCAGAGUUUCCACCCUUGAUUGCUAGGAAGCGUCCCACUUCGCAUCUCCGGGGGUUGUUUAUACUCCACCCAGGAACUACAGGGGCAGGGACGGAUAGUUGGAGACGCGCAUACAGCGUUAUAGUCAGAUACGUUGCUACUAUUAUUUUGCUAAUUUGGACAGUCAUGGAUGGCAUAGAAAUGAAUGCUGUAGAAACAAUAGACUCUGGCACCUUGGAGUUCAGAGACCCAGAAGGCGACCUGGCCUUGAGUGCACAGCUUAACGCGAAUCGAGCAUUUAUUUCAGAGAGUACAUUACUCCCUGUUAUUGGCUUGGUUGCCAUCAUUGUGAUCAUCUGCAUUUGCUGGUGUUGUAAAAUGAACUGCAAGUCUUCUCCUCAGACUCAGACUGAAGGCUCACCUGAGCCUAAUGUAUAUUGUCAUGAUCAGGAUCAACCUACAGGUCAGCGUUAUUCUGGUGAACCACCUCCUCCAUAUUGGUCCUGUCAGCCCAUGAAUUUUCAUGUUCCUGAACAACCUACGGGUACCUCGUCUGAGCCACCGGCAUAUCAUGAAGUUGCACUUCCAGGCAGGUGGAAUUCCACUCCACAUCCCCCAGUCAGCUCAGACCCCCUGCUCUCAACCCUGGAACCACACUUUGAUCUGGAAGGAGUAACAGUUCCCUCUGCACCUUCUCUUAGUUCAGAGUUUUAG